UGGGGAAUAUUGGACAAUGGGCGAAAGCCUGAUCCAGCCAUGCCGCGUGUGUGAAGAAGGUCUUCGGAUUGUAAAGCACUUUAAGUUGGGAGGAAGGGCAGUAAGCGAAUACCUUGCUGUUUUGACGUUACCGACAGAAUAAGCACCGGCUAACUCUGUGCCAGCAGCCGCGGUAAUACAGAGGGUGCAAGCGUUAAUCGGAAUUACUGGGCGUAAAGCGCGCGUAGGUGGUUCGUUAAGUUGAAUGUGAAAGCCCCGGGCUCAACCUGGGAAGUGCAUCCGAAACUGGCGAGCUAGAGUAGGGCAGAGGGUGGUGGAAUUGCCUGUGUAGCGGUGAAAUGCGUAGAUAUAGGAAGGAACACCAGUGGCGAAGGCGACCACCUGGGCUCAUACUGACACUGAGGUGCGAAAGCGUGGGGAGCAAACAGG
rnacentral:rRNA from 1 species